rnacentral:rRNA from 1 species
GACGAACGCUGGCGGCGUGCUUAACACAUGCAAGUCGAACGGAAAGGCCCUGCUUUUGUGGGGUGCUCGAGUGGCGAACGGGUGAGUAACACGUGAGUAACCUGCCCUUGACUUUGGGAUAACUUCAGGAAACUGGGGCUAAUACCGGAUAGGAGCUCCUGCUGCAUGGUGGGGGUUGGAAAGUUUCGGCGGUUGGGGAUGGACUCGCGGCUUAUCGGCUUGUUGGUGGGGUAGUGGCUUACCAAGGCUUUGACGGGUAGCCGGCCUGAGAGGGUGACCGGCCACAUUGGGACUGAGAUACGGCCCAGACUCCUACGGGAGGCAGCAGUGGGGAAUAUUGCACAAUGGGCGGAGGCCUGAUGCAGCAACGCCGCGUGCGGGAUGACGGCCUUCGGGUUGUAAACCGCUUUCGCCUGUGACGAAGCGUGAGUGACGGUAAUGGGUAAAGAAGCACCGGCUAACUACGUG